ensembl:lncRNA
UGGCUCUGGAAAGCUGAAAGGGCUGCACUGGAACAACACAGAUGAGAUAUUCUACACAUUAAUCUACUUAUCUGGAAUCACUUUGCAGCUAAAGGCCAGAGAAAAAUCACAGAUUCCUUGUCAGAGGGGAAGAGGAAGGUGAUCUGGGGAAAACGCAGCUACACCUGAGCAAGGUCUCUUCCCGGCUUGGCAAUCCCAGCUGUGCCAGCGCUACAGGACCCGAGGCGUCCCAGAAACCAAAGGGCAGGCACCGCAGCGAAUGCCUGAGCCUGCCCUAUGCUUCAUGCAGGUUGAACAGAAGUGUUCUCUGAGCUUGUAUUGUUACAGCCCUCCGCGAUGGUGUAAAAGAAUGAAAGAAGACAUGACCUGCUUUCAGGAUUUUCAGAAGAAUGUUGGGCUGAAUACAGGUAAAAGCAAGAUGAACACACACAGGUGACUGUUAAUGAACAGUGGCUAAAUGCACAGGUUAUGGGAGUUGAACUGCCUGGGUUUAAAUCCUGGCUCCACUAGUUACCACCUAGAGCAAGUCAUAUACUUUUUAUAAGCCUCAGUUUCCCCUUCUGAGAACUGCAUUGAUAACAUCCACCUCAUAAGGUCCUUGUUAAGGGUGGUAAGGUAAUAAACAUAAAAUGAUCAGCACAUAAAAGGCAUUCAACAAAUGUUAGCUACUAUUAUCAUAUAAAUGAUUAUUUUUAUUUUUACUACUAUUACUACUACUCCUACUUCCUUGCUACUCUCAUCUAUAUUUUGCCCCGUACCUUAAAGACAAGGAGCCUCCCAAGCUGUAUGCCAUGGUCCAAGUCAGAUAGAAUAUAAUGCAUCUCAGGCAGGGAAGCUAGGAGGCUCAGGGUCUGUCAGAAAAGGCACAGAAGAGUAUUUCUGAGGGAGGAGAUGGCUGUGGAGGGGAGUAAGCAGAGCCUGGAUAAAGUAAAUAACUACGUUUGCUCUAAAUGACUUUCGGAACCGAGAAAGAGCACAUGUUCACAGAUCAGAUGAUUUUCAGAGCUGGAAAUUGACUUAGAAAUCCUUAAGUUACUUCUUUUUUUAAUGCAGCUUUUGGAUAGCCAUAAAAAUCUUAAGCUUUCCUUUAAUGUUAUUUAAAUUUUUAAAAUAAAUUCAGUAACAAGAAAAAAAAAGGAUGAACACAACAGUAACUUUGAAACUAUUUUAUUUAUAUCUUAAAAGAUACGUAUUUCUUCCUUUGAUCAUGUGUCUACAAUGUGAGCACUGAAUCUGCUUGCUCACCACCAGCUUUUCACCCCAAAAGAAUGGAGAAAACAGAGCCGGAGGCAUGCUGCACUCCAUGUCAAGUUUAUCUGCUGCUUUAUUUUCAAAUGCCUUAAGACCCUUUCACCCUGACUUUGAUAUACCCCAUAGCGGGCCAGGACCCUGCUUACUCCAAAAGCAUAAUUUUAUAGACAACAGGACAAUGAGACUCCACUGACUUAUUGUUAGCCACACAGCUAGUUGGCAAAGAAAGGAAUCAGAAAUCCUGCUGAUGGAGAGGAAGAUUCAGAGGUGAAGGAGAAACAGGAAAAUGAAGGUUUGUAAUAAUUUGCUGUGGAAAAUCAAAUGAUGUGGGCAGCAAAAAGGGGACUUAAGCAAAAAGAUUUUUUAAGAAAAGAGACUUAAGCAAAAAUAUUUUUUAGGAAAAGCAUUCUUGCUGCUGUAUGAAGAGUGCAAUAAAUUAACCAUGUCAUAUCCCUUAUCUCUGCACCUUUUGCUACCAGAACCUAAAAUAUAUACCAAGAAAAUACAUUUAAAGGUUAAAUCUGGUUGUUUUUGUUUUUCAUUUGAGCAGAUUUUCUAUUUAUAAUCAUUGAUUACCCUAUUUUAGGAAUGAAGUGGAAAUGAAGGGUUUUCUCCUCAGUGGUCAUAACAAACUUGAAGGCUCUAUGGCUAAAAAUACAAAUCCCAUUUUGUUGCUUCUUUGCUGUUGUUUUUGAGACAGGGUCUUUGUGUUGCCCAGGCUGGAGUACAGUGGUGCCAUCAUGGAUCACUGCAGCCUCGACCUCCCAGGCUCAAUCAAUCCUCCCACCUGAGCCUCCCGAGUAGUUGGCAUGCAGGAACACAUCACCACACCUGGCUAAUUUUUGUAUUUUUAGUAGAAAUGGGGUUUCGCUAUGUUGCCCAGGCUGGUCUCAAAUUCCUGGGCUCAAGUGAUCCACCCGCCUCAGCCUUCCAAAGUGCUAGGAAUACAGGUGUAAGCCACUGCACCUGGUUAUAGCUUUUUCAAGAGCAAGAAGUUACAAAUUCCUGGA